AGGUGGGUCGGCGCUGAGCGGAUGCGCCGGCCAGUGCGCGUGCCCGGCCGGGGUCUGCGCGCGGGCCCGGGAGGGGGGUCCCUCCCGCCCGCCGGGCUGGGGCGCAUCCCGGCCGGGGCCCCCGCCUCUGGCCGCCGGCCCGCUCUCUCCCCGAGGGCGCGGGCCCGCCUCUGAACGGUUUUCGCUUUCGCUUUCCUGCCGCUGUCGUUGAGGAAAAUGAAAGCGACGGCGAGCAGGGCCGGUGCGGCCGCGGCGCGGGGCGAGGGGCGCAGCGGGCGGUCAGCGGCGGCGGGGACCGGGCGCCGGAGCCGGGGCCGCAGCCCGAGAUGGCAGCACCCUCUGGACUGAGAAGUCAGAAGCCCGGAUUACAGGGAAGCCAGAAAAUGGACUCUCUUCUCCAGGACACGUGAAUGACAGCCACUGGAAUGGGUACCUGAAUUUGCAGCCUUCGAAGGAAGAGAGAUUGAAGAGCCUCUUCACAGCACUGGAACGGGCCCAGGCACCCCAGCACGAGAGAAAACAGCUAAGUCCUCAAUGCUCCUGUGACGAUGCAGGCGACACAGUGACUUUCCAUCGCUGCAGCCUUGGGUGUGCACGUUGCUCCUGACUGGACCAGAAGAUAGGAUCGUGCCCUAAAGAAGCGCUGGGCAUGAUUCCAUGCACAGAACAGCUCACAACUGGCAAAACGGACUGCAUUGUUGGAGAUGCGCUGCAGAGGUAAAACUGAAAAGGCACAGAAAUUGUCGUCUGAUGGGGCCAGAGUGAUAGUACAGUAGUAGGUGCUUGUCUUACACACAUGGCCAACCUGGGUUCAAUCCCUGGCAUCCCAUACGGUCUCCCGAGCACCACCAGGAGCAAUUCCUGAGUGCAAAGCCAGGAGCAGCCCCUUAGCAUCACCAGGUGUGACCCCCAAACAAACAACCAAACAAAAAUGUCAUCAGAAAAGUGAGUUUAGUGGGGACAUGGGGGAAGGUGGGGACUGGGACCAAGGGCCCCGACCAUUUGGUUUUGUUUUAUCUCUUGAUCUGGAAGUAGUUGUACAAAUAUUUGCUUUAUCUGUUGUAUUUGCUAAACUGAACAUAUGUUUGGUGUAUUUUCUGCAUGAUCAUAAUUAUUGUUUUUGCAAUAAAAAAGAAAAGUAUUUA